rnacentral:lncRNA from 1 species
GGUGGCCUGCCUGUUGACAGUCUUAACCCAUUGCGGGGUAAAAAGGAUGUGGCGUGGGGGCGUGCAUUUUGUGUCUCUCGUGGGUCCCCUUCUCAAAUCGGACUAUUGCAAAAAGCAGGCAGAAAGGAGGCAGGCGUCCUUGUUGCUCCCGCCUGCAAUUCACUGCGAUGAGUUUGGCACCUACAUUGCUGUGCUAAACCUAAGGCAUUUUUGACCUAAAAAAUUGAAAUGUUUGAGCAUCGUGAAAGAACUCUUUGGAAGCAGUCCUGCUUUCUCCCUCUUUGCCUUAACUUGGCAGUUUUUCUCACCUACAGACAAUCGUUGCCUUGUAAAGACCCUUGAAGAAAUCUAACACAUCCUCCCUGGGGUACACCUUUUCCAAGCAAAAACUGCAUUAAAUCUUUUCAUGGUGGGCUUGCGUUGUCUUGGUGUCUGAUACUGUGGCAAGUGUCCAAAUUCUCUCUGUGGAGCCAAUAUACUCUGCACUUCCUACAGUCAAAAUACUCUGAAGAAGACGGAGAUUCUAAGGUCCAAGCCUUAGGGCAGGAGCUCAUUUUUGCUUCCUUCAGAAUGAGUUGGCCAUGCUCUUCCUCCACCUAAACCUAGGCUCCUCUUAUCUCACCCAUAUGACUUCCAGACACUCCUAAAAUUACUCUUGUUGACUCCUAUUCUGCACACUGCUGCAGAAUUUUUGUCCGAAGCUCCGUAUUAUUAUCCUAACAGACUAGAGCUCCCAUUCCUUGGCAGAGCAUUCAAUGCCCUGCCCACAACUGGCCCCGAACAUUCUGUCUUGGUCCUACACAACCCCUCUGUGCUUUCAAAUCUACUUAAUUACCCUACUGCCUUCCACUUCUGCAAAAAGUUAUCUUGCCCACGCCUAGCUUUUUCCUUUUAUGCUAAUUCUCCUUCCUCCUUUCUUCCUCAGAGCUUCUUAGCUCAGCUUUCUCAGCUGUUCCUACCACCACCCAGCCAAAUCAGUGAACAAGUGAAACAACCUGCUGUCUACUUCUGUCUUUUCACCUACAGUUAAUUCUCAAUGUGGCAGACAGUAGAAUCUGUUUUAAAAUGUGCGUCAAGUUGUGCUAUGUUUUUGUUCUCAACCCUCCAGCAACUUCCUAUCUGCCUGAAGGAGGGCAUCAGGGUCACAGGUGACAUGGUUCAUCCCUCCCCUUUCUGAUGUCUUCCCUUACUGCCUCCCUCCUUGCUGUGCCUCAGACAAGAGGAAAAAUUUUUAAAAGUCACCUUGGACUGAAGACCAGCAUCAGUUUAUAUGGUGUGAGUUCUUUCCAUUUGCCUUAGAUUGCACCUACACUGACAGAAGAAAGUAAAAAGAUCCAGCAGUUGAGGGAGCACUGGCUUCAUGGUUGAGUCAUCAUUUUGCUAAAUUAUGUAAUAAAUUCAUAAAUACUAACAGUGGAAAAACUAAACAGUGGAGGGAAAAUCCACUGUUUAUCUUCAUCUCCCAGUCUCCCAGUAUUUCACCAGUGGUAUCAAUUAUGAAAUGUCAGACUCAUAGGGAAUGGGAGACAGAGCUGGUCAAUGAUCUGACCAAGCAUCUGAUGAUGAUAAUGUUUUUAUUAUAUAAGGAGACACUUAAAACUGUAUAAAUAGACAUUUUAUUGUUUUCCUCUAAAUGUGUUUAACUCUAAAAAUGUUUUAGUGCAAAAUGUGUUAGCAGUUAGCAAUUGUUUGUUAUACUAGUGAUCCAACAUCUGUUAACAAUGAGGUUCUGGCAUACCAUCUGUAUUAGUCCAUUCUCAUGCUGCUAUAAAGAACUGCCUGAGACUGGGUAAUUUACAAAGAAAGGAGGUUUAAUUGACUCACAGUUCUGUGGGGCUGGGGACACCUAGAAAAUUUACAAGUAUGGUAGAAGGGGAAGCAAACACAUCCUUCUUCACAUGCUGGCAAGAGAGAGAAUGAGAACCAAGUGAAGC